GAAGAGGCACCCGUGACUCACCAUGUCUUUGAUCUGGCAGUGCCCGUAGCUGAAGACGAUGGCAUUGGGGGGAUUGCCCACAGGCAGCAUCACUGCGAAGGAGAUGCACAUGUUGCUAUUUGAAACAAUUUUUCAAACUGUGGUUUGAACACCAAUGAUUGAAGGCUGUGAAAAGGCCCAGAGGCAAGAGGACAGCGUGGAAGCUGCUCCCUGGUCCAGGCCUGCACUGCAGACAUGUGGGAGCCCUGCUCACUCACCAGGCUGCACAGGAUGGGCAGGAAGAUGGUGAUGGUGGCUGGGUUGCUCACAAACUCUGUGACUAUGGACACCAGGAUGCAGGCCAGCAGGGUGACGGCCCACGGUGGGAGGCUGCUCAGGGACAACAUCUGGUGCCCAAUCCAUGUGGAGAGGCCAGAGCUCUGCAGGCCAAGAGAUGCAGUUAGAAGGAGGAAGAGCACAUUCCCAGUGGAACUCCUGGACUCCAGGAGGUCAGGGAUGGUGGGGGCUGGAGGGACCACAGGAGUCACCUAACUUCCUAUUUUCAGGCAAACUGGACCUGGCGGCAUUCCUUUGUAGCUCAGAAAAUCCUUUUUUUAUGAUUGUACAACAUUUAGUCUUAGGGUUUCCUGGUAGUUGCUGUCACAGGAAUGGAGAGCCACCCACCCUAAUUGCCAUAAUCCUUAGGACUUUGCCAGAUGACUUGGCAGGGGUUGAAGAUCUUUGGGGCAAUCGGCUCCUCAACUUUAAUCUCAUUUCUCUUUCUCCCGCCUCUGACACCCUCUCAAGUCCUUCUACUUUUGAAAGAUUUCUCUUAUCACCUGAGCAAGGGAAAAAACUAGGUAUCUUUAGAUAGUAACCUUCCCUGUGUUUUGAGGGUGAGUGAGUGGGCAGAGCUCAGCAUUAGAUGUUUUACAUGAGUAAUGAAGAAGAGGGGAUUACAAGCCUGUCUCCAUUUAGUGGGGAAGGUGCCGCCUCACUGGCCUGAAAGCAUAGGCAUUCAGCACAACCUGUUGUGGGUUCAAGUCCCGUCAAGGCUGACAUCAGGAUCUACCAUCUGCCAGUGCUUUUUGAUGACAGACAUGAAAGCAUAUUGCCACUCUUGAACCUUUUCCAUUAGCAACAUUUAUACAUAUCCACUCCAGGAAAUGCAUUUUCCCAUUUGGAAUAAUUCUUUGGGAUGGAAGCUGUUCGUUUGGCCAUGGUGAGGCCUCUCCCCCUUCUCUCCCAAAAUGAAGAGCACUAUCUAGUUUUUGUACUAAAAACCGCAGGUUGCCAUGUGCAAUCUCCCGCUCUCCCUCCCUCUUCUCCCUUCUGUGGUUGCUGUGCUCUGAUUUUUCCCAUUUACCCUGGAGACUGCAAAUGCAAUAAAGCAAUGAGGAGUAGGGCAGAAAGCAAGGUGAGACGUUCUGUGAUCCCCCAAGCUGUGAGCCUAAUCACAUUUUACAGUUAAAGACAGCCUCUCUAUGUUGUCAGCAGGCUACUUUUCCUCCUCUUCUCCAAGUUCAACGAAAGCUCAUUUGAUCUCCACAGCACUCUGGCCACCUCAUGGCAAGCUCAUAGACACCUGAUGACUAGAGCCUUCAGAAUUCUCUCUGUUGUAGCCAUUUUUUUACCUUGGAGCACUUUCCUUUAUUUUUUCCCUCAACCAACUGAGUAUUGCAAAUCCAACAUGUGGGGACUAAUCAUUUCAUGUUGAUACAGAGCCUUGAGGCCCACAGGAGCUCUGUAAUUGUUAUCUCUUACAACACAUUUAGCCCUGCUCCCUGGGCAAAGAUAGGAGGGAGAGCAGUUAGCUGAGUGGAAAUCGUACAUUUUUGUAAAGAAAUAGUUUUACUUUUCACGUUAUCCAAAUAACACUUGUAAGUACAAGGAAAUAAUUUAAUGGCAGUUAUUUUUCACCAGAACUUUACACUAUAAUUUGAGAUAAAUUGAUAAAUUAGACUGCAAAGUUAGGAAAAAACACAACAAAGGAAGUCUUGUUUAAAUCCUUGGUUUGAAAAUAUUUUACACUGUAUUUUCCUCACUAAUGUCAAGACUGAAAUUAUUUCAUACUCGCUAGGAAUCACAUAUAUUAUGCCUGAAUGAUAUUAUUAAACUAGUAGAGUCAGGGUUUACAGAAAUAUCUACUAUCUGUUACACCCAUAAUGUUGGUUAAAAAGAAAAAGAGCUGGCCAGGCGGGGCUCAGAGGCCAAAACUAACAACUGAAAUUCUGUAAAGGUAAGUAUGACAUCUGAACUUGGAAUUAGAAAUAUCAACAGCAUAUAUGCAGCGUUGGUUGGAGGACUUAAGGCUUAAUAGGGGCUAAUAAUUAAAAGAAUGGAGAGUUUUAGUUUACUGCAAUUCCAAUAUACAUGUUGACAUGAGAGCCAGUGAAGCCUUGUAAAAGCUUCCAUAUAAAUACAGGAUGGUGCUUGGAUCAGACGUGAGAGAUGGGGCUUGGGUAAUAUAACUGAGUUAUUCUCACCACCUCUGGAGCAUGUUUGAAUAAGGCCAAGUGCAAACUAAUGAGUCCCAAGACGAGAACCAGCAUGGUAAGGGGUCCGUACUUCUGUGAGAAUAGUGAAAGGGACUGAGGAGUUUCAGUUGAAAAAAAAAUCUAGGGGGAUUUGUAGCUGAUGUUAAUUUAAUAAUUAUCACCUAGGAGAGGUUUCCAGAGAGCAGAGGCAGAACCGUCAGCGGAAGGCAUACAGAAAACCUGAGCUGAAAGUAGAGAAUAACUAUUCUUUGUUCCCUACUCAAGGACUUGCCCUGUCACCGGAGAUGUUCAAGCCAGGAGUGUCAUGGAAGGAAACCUCACACUGGGUGGGAGAUGGGGCUCAGUGUCCUCCAAGGUUCCUUCCGAUUGUAGGACUGACAUAUUGACGAUGCAGAGAGCAGUGGCCCACAGUGAAUGGGCCAUGAUAAGUGAGCCAAAUUUAGGAUGGGUUAACGUGUACAGAGAGGCUGGAGGGAGAAAGGUGUGACCCUUAGCCUGAUUCAUUAUUAGGGUUGUUUUCUAUUUUAGGAAGGGCCAACACUUUAGGAAAUUCAUUUCUUUCUCACCAGCCCCCUUUAAAAGAUCUCAUCCCAAGUCCUCUUGAUGAGGAAGUUGGGGCAUUUACAUCAGCUUUAGCAUCAAUUCUCCAAGGGGCUCAGUAUAUGCAUAUGGACUGACUGAGGGACAAUCUGAGGGGUGUCACUGGGGGCAUCUCUGGGCCCUUACAGACAUCUCCUGUCACCUCUGUCAAAUCCGCAGAAGGUGAUGGCUACAGAAUCCAGUACACCUUUUGCUUGUGACAGUGUGGGCCCAUCAAUGAGGUGUGAAUGCCGCGUGCCAUGACUCCCUGGCCCAGUUGAUCUGUAACACUGGUCCCAGGAGCGCUAGCUUAGAAGCUCAGCGAGGACAGGAUAUCAGUUCCUGGCUGUACUGCAUCCCUUCCCAGUGACUUGGGUGGACAUUCACCUCUCCCUCAGCUUCUUUGAAUCUUCCCGCCCAGAACCGUAUUGAUUCAGUUGGUAAAGUAGCUGGAAAAAAAUCCGGCCCAAGAAGAACAGAACUGAAGAGCUACCUUGCUGCCAGAAGCGAGAGCAUAGCCUCCUCCCACCAGGAUAACAAUCUCCCAGGGCAUGGUCUUCUGGAAGUCCUUCCACGUGAUGAUGGGCUCCAUCCUCAGCGAGGGCUCCCGGUCCUCCCCUGGAUCACAGCAAGGCUUCUUCGCUGGAAUCAGGAAGAGGAGGAAGCCGAGGAAGAUGGAGACCGUGGCAUCAGUGCGGUAGCCUUUCCUGGCAAAGAGACAAGC